rnacentral:lncRNA from 1 species
AUUGUGUUGCUGAAUUUUUACUAGUAGUUGCAGAUGCACACUUAUACAUGCCUUUGUAGUCUAUGUUUCCAUUAGCACACAACAAAUACGUAAGCUAUAUUGAGUAGAGUCAUCUUGUCUUUCAUGGAUUUUCCUCUUGUUGGAAUGAGCAAGCGUUUGCUGUCUGGUUGUAAAUGAUGUGUUGUUGAAGUUUUGGUUGUUUAUGUGCUUAUCGACGGUCUUGUGCUGGCUCGUUGAAUUCCACCAGCACAUAACAUAUUCGUAAGCUACAUUAAUGAACCCACCUUGUCUUUCAGUUCUCCUGUCUGUGAGGAAAGCUUUCAACGGUGCGGUGUACAUAAUAAAUCUUAUAUCCACUGUCAUGUUGUUAAUGCGUGUGAUUAUAUUUCGUGCAAUGCAUGUAUUUGUGCACUGGUGGAAUUUGGUUGCAUUUUUUUAUGCUGAUCAAUCAAGGAUGUAGUUGAAGUUGAAUUUGAUUAGAUGCUUUGUCAUCUGCACACAACAAAUACAUAAGCUAUAUUGAGUAGAGCCAUCUUGUCUUUCAUGUUUUUUCCUCCUGUUGGAAUGAGUAAUGACAACCCAUGAUAUGGCAGAUGUUUUGUUGUCUGUGGUUGUAAAUGAUGUGUUGUUGAAGUUUUGGUUGUUUAUGUGCUUAUCGACGGUCUUGUGCUGGCUCGUUGAAUUCCACCAGCACAUAACAUAUUCGUAAGCUACAUUAAUGAACCCAUCUUGUCUUUCAGCUCUCCUGUCUUUGUGAGGAAAGCUUUCAACGGUGCGGUGUACAUCAUAAAUCUUAUAGCCACUUUCAUGUUGUUAAUGUGUAUGAUUAUAUUUCGUGCAAUGCAUGUAUUUGUGCAUAGGUGGAAUUUGGUUGCAUUUUUUUUAUGCUGAUCAAUCAAGGAUGUAGUUAAAGUUGAAUUUGAUUAGAUGCCUUUUCAUUUGCACACAACAAAUACAUAAGCUAUAUUGAGUAGAGCCAUCUUGUCUUUCAUGGUUUUUCCUCUUGUUGGAAUGAGGAAUGACAACCCAUUAUAUGGCAGAUGUUUUGUUGUCUGUGGUUGUAAAUGUUGUGUGGUUGAAGUUUUGGUUGUUUAUGUGCUUAUCGACGGUCUUGUGCUGGUUAGUUGAAUUCCACCAGCACAUAACAUAUUCGUAAGCUACAUUAAUGAACCCACCUUGUCUUUCAGUUCUCCUGUCUUUGUGAGGAAAGCUUUCAACAGUGCGGUGUACAUCAUCAUAAAUCUUAUAUCCACUGUCCUGCUGUUAAUGCAUAUGAUUAUAUUUCGUGCAAUGCAUGUAUUUGUGCUUACAUUGAAUUUGGCUGUGUUAUCAUUUAUGCUGAUCAAUUAAGGAUGUAAUUAAAGUUGAAUUGGAAUGAUGUAUAUAAAAAACAACCUGCUCAUGUGCUGUCUGUCACCCAGGAGACAUUUUCCGUCGUUCUAUCUUAAAUAUUUUGGGCAUUUCAUUUUUAUCAUGUCA